rnacentral:siRNA from 1 species
CUAACUCAUAAGAUUGUGCCA